rnacentral:rRNA from 1 species
GAUGAACGCUAGCUACAGGCCUAACACAUGCAAGUCGAGGGGAAACGAUAGAGAAAGCUUGCUUUUUCUAGGCGUCGACCGGCGCACGGGUGAGUAACGCGUAUCCAACCUGCCCAUCACUUGGGGAUAACCUUGCGAAAGUAAGACUAAUACCCAAUGAUAUCUCUAGAAGACAUCUGAAGGAGAUUAAAGAAUUAUCGGUGAUGGAUGGGGAUGCGUCUGAUUAGCUUGUUGGCGGGGUAACGGCCCACCAAGGCGACGAUCAGUAGGGGUGCUAGGAGGAAGGUCCCCCAAAUUGGAACUGAGGCACGGUCCAAGCUCCUACGGGAGGCAGCAGUGAGGAAUAUUGGUCAAUGGACGAGAGUCUGAACCAGCCAAGUAGCGUGCAGGAUGACGGCCCUAUGGGUUGUAAACUGCUUUUAUAAGGGAAUAAAGUGAGUCUCGUGAGACUUUUUGCAUGUACCUUAUGAAUAAGGACCGGCUAAUUCCGUGCCAGCCGCCGCCGUAA